rnacentral:rRNA from 1 species
CAGGCCUAACACAUGCAAGUCGAGCGGUAACAGGAAGAAAGCUUGCUUUCUUUGCUGACGAGCGGCGGACGGGUGAGUAAUGCCUAGGGAACUGCCCAGUCGAGGGGGAUAACAGUUGGAAACGACUGCUAAUACCGCAUACGCCCUACGGGGGAAAGGAGGGGCUCUUCGGACCUUUCGCGAUUGGAUGUACCUAGGUGGGAUUAGCUUGUUGGUGAGGUAAGAGCUCACCAAGGCGACGAUCCCUAGCUGUUCUGAGAGGAUGAUCAGCCACACUGGGACUGAGACACGGCCCAGACUCCUACGGGAGGCAGCAGUGGGGAAUAUUGCACAAUGGGCGAAAGCCUGAUGCAGCCAUGCCGCGUGUGUGAAGAAGGCCUUCGGGUUGUAAAGCACUUUCAGCGAGGAGGAAAGGUUAACGGUUAAUACCCGUUAGCUGUGACGUUACUCGCAGAAGAAGCACCGGCUAACUUCGUGCCAGCAGCCGCGGUAAUACGAGGGGUGCAAGCGUUAAUCGGAAUUACUGGGCGUAAAGCGUACGCAGGCGGUUUGUUAAGCGAGAUGUGAAAGCCCCGGGCUCAACCUGGGAACUGCAUUUCGAACUGGCAAACUAGAGUCUUGUAGAGGGGGUAGAAUUUCAGGUGUAGCGUGAAAUGCGUAGCGAUCUGAGGAAUACCGGUGGCGAAGGCGGCCCC